UACAGAGGGUGCGAGCGUUAAUCGGAAUUACUGGGCGUAAAGCGUGCGUAGACGGCUAUCUAAGUCGGGUGUGAAAGCCCCGGGCUCAACCUGGGAAUUGCAUUCGAGACUGAAUAGCUAGGGUACGGUAGAGGGAAGCGGAAUUUCCGGUGUAGCGGUGAAAUGCGUAGAUAUCGGAAGGAACAUCAGUGGCGAAAGCGGCUUCCUGGACCAGUACCGACGUCAGGCACGAAAGCGUGGGAGCAACAGG
rnacentral:rRNA from 1 species